UUCAAAACUUUUCUAGGCAAUUAAUGCAAUGCAAAUAUUGAAAAGUUAACUUAUCGAUUGGGUAAUCAUUCAGUAAGCUAAAUAUUUGUUGGACUGCGCUGAUCGCCACGGCGUGCACAGCUGCUUAGAUGCAUUGGUACCGGUUUGUCUUGUGCACUCAUGUAUUAUAUUAUUCAUGCGAAUGUACCACUACUGCUUUCACAGUCCAAACCAUCAUCGCCAUCGACACCAGUAACCAACUGUUUUCUAAUUCUGUUUUAUAAUACUUUGUAACAUAUUUGUACUUGAUUUAGGUGUGCACUAGCAAUUGGGUAUGGUAUUUCUUCUGCUUCAAAGGCGGCUUCAGUCCAAUCAAAGAAUUAUUUUAUUCCUUUAAUGUAUUGUUGCACUAAAUACCAAAAUACGGUAAAUUUAGCACACAAACAUUUGCGCCUGUUAAGAAAGAUCAAGAAAAAUAGAUUUUCAGAAAGUAAACAAUUUAUUCACAUAUUUUUCUUCUCUCGCAACACGUUGCGUAAGAGUACAAAGUUUUUUGAUUGCAUGUUCUUACAUCAUUAUUUAUUUGUUUAUUUUUUUUAUUUUGUAUUUUUAAUAUAUGGGAUGAUACGGAAAUAUUUUUCUCAUUAAAAUUUAUAAUAUACGUAUUAAAAGAUUAUUUUGACUUUCAGCACCACACAAUAAAUAAGUACAUUGUUGCCAGCCAGUUUAACAGGGUAACCAAUAUUAACCACACAUUUAAGCAUGUAAAUAUUAUAUAGAUAUAUCAAGAUUGAAAAAUUGAUUGUUUAUAAAACUUUAUAGUUAUGACGUUAUUGCUUGCAAUUUGUAUGAUGCCUUGAAAUUUGUUAUGCACAUGUGUCUUUAUCAGAAUAUAUAAUAAAUUACGUAGAAUUUUAUUAUAAUUAUGUAUACCUUUGUAUAUGUUCACUAUCACCUUUACAGAUUUACAGUUUUAUAACAUACAGACAUACAUAAAUACGUACAUAUUUACAAAUGUUGUUUGUUCUUCUAACAUUAUGUCGAAACCUCAUAAGACAAACACCUACAUACUACAUGCUUACACAAAAAACAUGCGAAACUAUCAAUGCUGGAAAUAGAAAAUAAAAAACAAUAAAACAAUUUAUUAUACAACAUGUCUUCCUACGUACAUAUGUUUAUACAUAUUUGUACAAGUAUGUGCAACAUUCGCACAUAUCGACCCACACUUGUCAAGUCAAAGUGGCCUACUCGCAAAAUAUAUAAAAACAUAAAAAUAGAAUACAAAUAAAAACAAAAAACUCAGUAAAGAGAUAAGAGGCCGAAGCAAAACGUGUGAAUGCAAAUAAAUUAAGAGACAAGUAUUGGCCAGCAUGGGCGAUUGUACAUUAUAUAGAUGGGCGCGAACAGGUCUGCGCGCAAAAGCCGCUGCCAAUAUUUACAUACCUACAUAUAUUCAACCAAUUUGCAUAACAGAAAAUUAAAUUAAAAAGGGUAUGUAUGUAUGUAUUGUAUAACUGCAUCCAACUAGUGUUUUGAUAAAAAGAAUAUCCUACUAGAAAUCGAUGAAAGCACGAACUAAUUAGUACUCGAAAACAAGUAAUGUAAUGUCAAAGCAAUUAGUAUAAUACUUUAAUAAAAAAUAGUUUUAUGAAUAUGUUUGUGUGAUAUGCGAAAGUUCAAGAUAUCUAAAUAUUUAAGUGUGGCAAAAGCCAACGCUGGUUCUAUAGAGGGCCGAACUCCCAACUAGGGAUAAAUAUCUAAAUUUAGAGUCCACGCUUUAAUAUGUGUAUUCGAACGCUUGUAGAAAUACUGUAAUAUUCAAAGGGACAGACCGGCGCAAAAUUUUAUUUAUUUACGCAAUCAUAAUCAAUAUGAAAGUAUUUGUUGAACGCAAACAAAAUGUUGUAGGCAAUGAACUCUUUAAGUAGACGAAAGUUUGUCGUAAAUUUUUGUUUCGGAGAAUCAUAUAAAGUAAUUUUAACUUUAACAUAUUGCAAACUCCGAAUUUUCUAUAUUAAAAAAGAAAAAUUUCAAAUUUUGUGAAAACAAUUUUUUGGCAUGUAUAAACUUUAAUUAGUAUAAUAUUUAUUAUUAAUUCUUAAUUAAUUUAAAAUUAAAAUAAUUAGAUAGCAUAAAAAAUAGGAAUACGACCAGUUAACCGUGAAACAAGUCUUCUUGAUUCAAAUAUAAUGGACCCUCUGGCCGAGAGACAAAUCAAAGGACAUACUUCUGUACAACCACAUCCAGAUAAGGGUGAACGAUAGAUAGUACACAUACAGAGAAUAAGUUUUUCAAGUGCACUUGCGCAUACAGGAAUUGAAAAGUGCAAUUAUAUGGAACGACAAAUGGAGUUGCUAUGAACUUCCAGACAAUAAACAAAUAUGUAUACAAAAGGUGCACAGACACAAUCCCAAAUUGGGGGUGUAACUCCGUUAUAGGGUUGCCGGAUGAAUCUAUCAUUCUUGCUUUCACCCCAAAACUAACUAAUAUGGAUAGGAAGGAAAGGCAACUUCCCACAAAAUAGGAAACUAACAAAUUUUUCGAUGACCAAUGUUUUACAAACAUAAUACACUUUAUUAAAAGUUCACUUUAUGUCUACCAUUCGUAACGCAAAGAAAAAAUUCAACGGGUAACGGAAUCGCGAAUACAACGAGCGCGCACAGCUGCCAUUUUACGAAUAAAAAGCGGCCAGAAAAUUGAAAACACAAUUGACAAAUUCUUAUUGGACGCCUGACAUGGUUGCAUUUUUAGUAUCAAUGGAACAGAAGUAGCAGCAGAGAACGUAAAUGAAUUAUAUUCAUUUACAAUACAUUCUCUGGAAGUAGUGACAAGGGAUUAUUAACAGAACUAAUAAAUGCAAAGUAAUUAGUGCAUAAGAAAUCAGUAAUAAUAUUAUUAUAGCAAUAAUAAUUCUACUGCUAUAAACAUUAACUUUUAAAAUAAGAAAUUGUGCUGUAAAUAUAUUCACAUAUAAGUUUUCUUAUUUAUCAAUGUGGCAACCAGCAUUUUUGGCAUUUAAACCAAAGUGGAGUUGGAACGCUUUAUUCAGUGCUGCCACAAUAUCGGAAAGUUCCUAUGUUAAAAUUGGGAACAGGAAGUGCUUAAUUAAUAAAAUAAUUUUUAAUUAUUCUUUUAAAUGAGUGUUUUGCUAACGAAGUAUUCGUAAAAAUAAAAGAGUGAUUAAUUCACGAGACACUAGUAAUAAAACAUAAGUAAAAUUUAUCACUUAUCAUGUCACCCUCACCUUUCAUUUAAAAUAAAGUCAUAUUGUUAUUUUAUAGCUUUAACAUA